GGUCCGGUAGUUCAGUUGGUUAGAAAAAAAAAAGCCUGCCUGUCACGCAGGAGGUCGCGAGUUCGAGUCUCGUCCGGACCG
rnacentral:tRNA from 1 species